rnacentral:rRNA from 1 species
GUCUACGGCCAUGCCACCCUGAACAAGCUCGAUCCCGUCUGAUCUCAGAAGCUAAGCAGAGUCAGGCCUGGUUAGUACUUGGAUGGGAGACCACCUAGGAAGACCAGGUGCUGUAGGCA